GACGAACGCUGGCGGUAUGCUUAACACAUGCAAGUCGAACGAGACGAGAUGGAAGGAUCCUUCGGGUGACGGAAAUCUUAGAAAGUGGCGAACGGGUGAGUAACGCGUGGGUAACCUGCCCUAUGGAAAGGAAUAGCCUCGGGAAACUGGGAGUAAUGCCUUAUAAUAUAUCGAAGUCGCAAGGCUUUGAUAUUAAACGCUCCGGUGCCAUAGGAUGGACCCGCGUCCCAUUAGCUAGUUGGUGAGAUAACAGCCCACCAAGGCGACGAUGGGUAACCGGUCUGAGAGGGCGAACGGUCACACUGGAACUGAGACACGGUCCAGACUCCUACGGGAGGCAGCAGUGGGGAAUAUUGCGCAAUGGGGGCAACCCUGACGCAGCAAUACCGCGUGAGUGAAGAAGGUUUUCGGAUCGUAAAGCUCUGUUAUUGGGGAAGAAAAAAGACGGUACCCAAGAAGAAAGUCCCGGCUAACUACGUGCCAGCCGCCGCCGUAA
rnacentral:rRNA from 1 species